rnacentral:rRNA from 1 species
AUGCUCGACUUCGACUCUGAAGACAUCGAUGGUAUGGACGCCGAUGAAGGAGACGACCAAGAACCAGCACCUAUAGGGCACUGGAAAGCCACCUCGUCAUAUGACAUAUACAUGGUGGACACCCCUAAAGCAGGGAAUGGCGAUGAAAAAACGGAGGACGACCCCUCCAAGAAGCAACCUAAGCGCCGACGUCAGCGGCGCCGCUCUAAAUCACGCCAAUGCAAAAACGGCGAGUUCGGCACUAGAGACAACAACACCCCAGACAAUACCGAAGACAACCCCCUCCAGCAGGAUUCAGCGCAGGAGGAUGGAGAAGCCAGCCCCCAUGAGAGAGCGGUAGACAGGAAGGUCGAGGAAGACAAUUAUAUGCCUCCCUCCGAAGACGAGGCAAGCCUCGACGACGAUGAAUUUGUCGUGCCAGAGGAUCCCGUUGAACAAGAGCGUUUCAAGCGCAGGCUUAUGGCCACGACAAGCAGCCUCAAGAAAAAACAACAGCAGCUCAGAGCUGACCAAGAUUUACUAGCCGACAGAUGGACUGAAGUCCUGGCGGCCGAAGAGUAUAAACUCGAACGCCCCUCCAAGAGCUACCCAAAGCGCAGGCUGCUACCCCAACUAGAGGAGGAAGCAACUAAACCUACAUCACCAGCGUAUGAUGCGGCCGAUCGGCCACCCCGUGGCCGUGACAGAGAGGCCUUUCGGCCCUCAACUCAAGCCGCACCCCGGCGCCGCUCAAAAAAUACCAGAGCACGGGGAAACGCAACAGACCUGCGAGACAUAUUGGAGAAUAAGGCAAGGCAAACAAGAUCGAUCUACGGAUCGCGCGGGCGCCCCACGUCACGUGACGAUAACCGUCACGCCGGAUAUGAUAAAUAUGGCCAGGCCGAACACAACAGACAAAGCUCAUCCGAGCUACGUCGCGAUAUAGCCCAGUACAGGGGCGCCACACACCCACUAUGCUUCACAGACGAAGUAAUGGAUCAUCAAAUCCCCGAGGGAUUUAAACCCGUCAACAUCGAAUCAUACAAUGGCACAACAGAUCCUGCGGUAUGGAUCGAGGAUUAUCUCCUUCAUAUCCACAUGGCCCGUGGUGAUGAUCUACACGCCAUCAAAUACCUCCCGCUCAAGCUUAAAGGACCAGCUAGGCAUUGGCUUAACAGCCUGCCAGCAAAGUCAAUUAGUUGCUGGGAGGACCUGGAAUCCGCAUUCCUCGACAACUUCCAGGGCACUUAUGUGCGACCACCAAACGCCGAUGACCUAAGCCACAUAAUCCAGCAGCCAGAGGAAUCGGCCAGACAAUUCUGGACACGGUUCCUAACCAAGAAAAAUCAAAUAGUCGACUGUCCGGAUGCAGAGGCUCUUGCAGCCUUCAGGCACAACAUCCAAGAUGAAUGGCUUGCCCGGCACCUAGGACAGGAAAAGCCGAAAUCUAUGGCAGCCCUCACGACACUCAUGACCUGCUUUUGCGCGGGAGAAGACAGCUGGCUAGCUCGUAGCAAUAACAUAACCAAGAGCCCUGGCAACUCGGAUACCAAGGACAACAGGUCACGUCGCAAUAAGCACAAGCGCCGCAUUAACGGUGACAAUACUGAGGAUACGGCAGUUAAUGCCGGAUUCAGAGGCUCUAAACCCGGUCAGCGGAAGAAGCCAUUCAAAAGAAACCCUCUGGGCCCAUCCAAUUUAGACCGGAUACUCGAUCGCUCGUGCCAGAUACACGGCACCCCCGAACAACCAGCCAAUCAUACCAACAGAGAUUGUUGGGUGUUCAAGCAGGCAUGCAAGUUAAGUGCAGAAAACAGAGACAAGGGGCUGCAUAGCAAUGACGAGGAGGAGCCCCGGCCGCCGAACAACAGAGGACAAAAGGGCUUCCCCCCACAAGUGCGGAUGGUGAACAUGAUAUACGCAACCCAUAUCCCCAAAAGGGAGCGGAAGCAUGCUCUCAAUGACGUCUAUGCGUUGGAGCCAGUCGCCCCAAAGUUCAACCCAUGGUCCUCCUGCCCGAUCACUUUUGAUCGAAGGGACCACCCCACUAGCAUUCGUCACGGCGGAUUCGCUGCAUUGGUCCUAGACCCAGUCAUUGACGGAUUUCACCUCACUAGAGUCCUCAUGGACGGCGGCAGCAACCUGAACCUGCUUUAUCAGGAUACAGUGCGAAAAAUGGGUAUAGAUCCCUCAAGGAUUAAACCCACGAAGACAACCUUUAAAGGCAUCAUACCAGGUGUAGAAGCCAGCUGUACAGGCUCAGUUACACUCGAAGUGGUCUUCGGAUCCCCGGACAAUUUCCGAAGCGAAGAGUUAAUCUUCGACAUAGUCCCGUUCCGCAGUGGCUAUCACGCCCUGCUCGGACGAACCGCAUUCGCAAAAUUUAAUGUGGUGCUGCACUACGCAUAUCUCAAGCUCAAGAUGCCAGGUCCUCGCGGAGUCAUUACGGUCAAUGGAAACAUCGAACGCUCUCUCCGAACAGAGGAGCACACGGCGGCUCUGGCGGCGGAAGUACAAAGUAGCCUCUCAAGGCAAUUCUCCAAUCCGGCUGUUAAAUGUCCGGACAACGUCAAGCGCGCCCGAAGUAACCUACAACAAAACCGGCUGGCACGUUCCGAGCAAGCAUAG